rnacentral:rRNA from 1 species
CAGUCGAACGGACUCAUAUUGAAACCUAGUGAUUUAUGAGUUAGUGGCGGACGGGUGAGUAACGCGUGGAUAACCUGCCGUAUACCGGGGGAUAACACUUGGAAAUAGGUGCUAAUACCGCAUAAGCGCACGGCUCCGCAUGGGGCAGUGUGAAAAACUCCGGUGGUAUACGAUGGAUCCGCGUCUGAUUAGCUAGUUGGCGGGGUAACGGCCCACCAAGGCAGCGAUCAGUAGCCGGCCUGAGAGGGUGGACGGCCACAUUGGGACUGAGACACGGCCCAAACUCCUACGGGGGGCAGCAGUGGGGAAUAUUGCACAAUGGGGGAAACCCUGAUGCAGCGACGCCGCGUGAGUGAAGAAGUAUCUCGGUACGUAAAGCUCUAUCAGCAGGGAAGAAAAUGACGGUACCUGACUAAGAAGCCCCGGCUAACUACGUGCCAGCAGCCGCGGUAAUACGUAGGGGGCAAGCGUUAUCCGGAUUUACUGGGUGUAAAGGGAGCGUAGACGGCAGCACAAGUCUGGAGUGAAAUCCCGGGGCUUAACCCCGGAACUGCUUUGGAAACUGUGCGGCUGGAGUGCAGGAGGGGUAAGCGGAAUUCCUAGUGUAGCGGUGAAAUGCGUAGAUAUUAGGAGGAACACCGGUGGCGAAGGCGGCUUACUGGACUGUAACUGACGUUGAGGCUCGAAAGCGUGGGGAGCAAACAGGAUUAGAUACCCUGGUAGUCCACGCCGUAAACGAUGAUUACUA